rnacentral:lncRNA from 1 species
CGGAAAUUGGAAAAGCAGCGACCUGAUAAAAGCAACGGACUGAGAAGCUGUUGCAUAGUUUAUCAACGGACUGAGAAGCUGUUGCAUAGUUCUUCCCUUGGGUCAAGGUGGUUUGGAGGCUCCUUCGUGCUGAGUUUUGUGACUUCUCUACUUCUCCUUUGGUUGUUUGCUAAUGGCGGAUGAUGAACCUGUUGAUCAGAAGAAGUACCUUGAAGAGUCUUGCAAACCAAAAUGUGUGAAACCAUUUCUCCAGUAUCAGGCGUGUAUUCAGAGGAUCCAAGGUGAUGAAAGCGGCCACAAGCAUUGUACUGGACAAUAUUUUGAUCACUGGUCUUGUGUGGACAAAUGUGUUGCACCGAAGCUCUUUGAAAAACUGAAGUGACGCAAAGAUCAUUAGUUGUAAACUGAAAAUUCAUUCUUUUCCCUUUCAAUUUUGAAUCGGCUAUAUGUUUCAGAAUGUUUUCUUUUAUUACCGUUAGUAGUCUGAUGUAUGCUGCAUUUUUGCAAAACAUGGAGACGUAAGUUGCAAUCAAUUAUAAAAAAUAAAAAUAAA